rnacentral:misc_RNA from 1 species
UUCUUCUUCUUCUUCUCCUUCUCCCUCUUGUCACUCCAAUUCAAUCUUGCCGUCGAUUGGAGGACUGGAGACUCCAUUCUGGGACAAGAAUUUGAUAUGGGUGUGGAUAAAAUCGAAGGACUGAAAGACAAAGGAGUACGUUCAACGUUAGGGCAUGAAGAAGAUAACUUAGUGAGAGAAGAAUUCUGGACGCUGAAGGGCAUGAGGUCAAGGGUGGCAUUAAUGCUGGCCAAGCAAAUAUCACAAUUGCAAUUGGCAUCUUUUCUGCAACCGGGAUAGUAGCAGCUAUCUCUCUCUUCCAUGGCGACCAUGGUGGUGCUCGAUUUCACUGAGGAUGAUGCAGUUGCUUGGUAUGCUUUCAUGGCUGAUUUUUAUUUUGUGUUUGUGUGCAUCUGUGUUGUUCUGCCAUAC